rnacentral:rRNA from 1 species
UACGUAGGGGGCAAGCGUUAUCCGGAUUUACUGGGUGUAAAGGGAGCGUAGACGGCAUAGCAAGUCUGAAGUGAAAGCCCGUGGCUCAACCGCGGAACUGCUUUGGAAACUGUUAAGCUGGAGUACUGGAGAGGCGAGCGGAAUUCCUAGUGUAGCGGUGAAAUGCGUAGAUAUUAGGAGGAACACCAGUGGCGAAGGCGGCUUGCUGGACAGAGACUGACGUUGAGGCUCGAAAGCGUGGGGAGCAAACAGG